rnacentral:lncRNA from 10 species
UACAGGAAUUCACUCUGUCACCCAGCCUGCAGUGCAGUGGCACAGUCACAGCUCACUGCAGCCUCAACCUCCCAGGCUCAAGUGAUCCUCCUGCUUCAGCCUUCCAAGUAGCUGGGAAAACAGCCUCUUCUCCCACACUGGCUUCCUCCACUUGGCAGGGGACAAGCCACCAGCUGCUCCUGCAUUUGACAUCGAUGUCUUUCUCCCGCAAAGAGAAGCUACACUCUUCUUUGGUUCCAAUGCUAAAAACUCUGGGUUGGGGCACUAAUGGGCUUGAUUUGGAUCAGGUGCAUAAGCCUGCAAAAAUGAAUCAUAGCCAGCAACAGGCAGCGGGAAGGCGGAAAGUUGGAGCAUGCUCUUCUCUAUAACCAUAGUACAAGGAGCAUGAUGUCCAAACACUGAAAGAGAGAAAGGGAGAGAAUGACAAAACGAGGGUGGUUUAUUUCUUAAGUCUAUUAACAUUUGGGGAAUCUGAGUGAAAAUUACAAGAUUUACCUUGUAAGACAUUUGUAUGAC